rnacentral:ncRNA from 1 species
GAUUUCUGCCCAGUGAAUUCAAUGUAAAAAUGAAGAAAUUCAAUAUAGGCAGGUAAAUGGUAGAAUAACUAUUAGUCUUCUAAAGUAGCUGUAGGGUAAAGAAUUAUUUUACAUAAAGUAAGUCUUUGCCCUUGGUUCCUAAGGGACAAUCCUUGGGAUUUCUUAAGUAACUGAGAUGCCUUUGAUUCUCUUAAAAGAAACCAAAUGCCUCACUGUCUAAUUAGAGACACACAUGAAUGAGU